rnacentral:lncRNA from 1 species
UUUCAUCUUCGGUACAGCUCAAAUCGCUGGAAAGCAUCAGGAAAGUCAGCUUUGUUGAUGGCGUAACCUAGCUGUAAAACCGUGCUGAAUUGAGACGCCUUUGGAAUGGCUCAGCUCUAGCAGUUGAUGCUGAUACAGCUUUGCUUUAUUGCACUUUUACAAUGGAAGGACAGAUGACAGGAGCCACUGCUGCUUUGUACUUCUGGAAGCAGGUAGGAACAGCUGUGAGCCUCGGAUCAAAGUACCUGAGCACACCCAAGGAACCUGCUAGCUAAGACUGCCUUGCUGCAGUAUGACACGGGAUCCUGGCUUCCCUGCUUAUAGCAGUGUAAGAUAAUUGUGUUUACAGUUUUGUAGCAUGUUUCUUCCCUCCCAUAAGAUUACUGUGGUUGCACUGCCUCUCAGAUUGCUUGUGGCCUAAUAUUUCUGCAUGCUGUCUGCACUGUGAGUUAAUUUAAUUAGGAAACAGCAAUAUUUACCUGGUCUCUUAAGAUACAGCAAAGUUGUGUGGCCACGGGCACCUCUGCAAGCAGAGUCCAGGUACAGCACCCCAAGGAGAGAGCACAGAGUAAAUGUGUGUGUCAUGUUUUAUGAUUUUUCCUCCCUACUGAGGAAGCAGUAAUUUAAGUGUGC